UUAUUUUAAUAAAAGGGUGUUCAGAGCUCUUUUUUUAUUUAAUUGAUGCUCAUCUUAUUUGUGACAACCCGAACUCUCAAUGUUUGUAACGGUUAAUCAGAUGAUCUUUACUAUUCGUUUCUUUGGUAAAUCUGUUAAGCGUGUGUGUUAUUUUGCUAAAUUAACAUAUUAACACCUUUGGGCCGCAAGUUUUUGGGUCACGCACUAACCCUUGGGCCGUCAAAUGCAAUCCGGACCGAAGCCCAAUAGCACCGUAAUCCAAGUGGGCUCGGCCCACUUAUUCAGACUAGAAUUACAUGGAUGGACCUUCCUAUGUAUUUUCUAUGUUAUGAACUAUACUUGAAGCUAAUACUUCUCGGCCCACUUGUUUCAAUUGGAUCUUGGCCCAACUAGUAUACCUAAUAUGAGAACUAGGUGGCUUGUGUUAAUUAGUUCUAUAUAUACUAUACGCAUCAUGUUUGUAUAUCACAAGUUACAACAUAACAAAACCCUAAUCCCCCCCCCCUGACUCGCGAACAGUAGAAGACCCCCACCCCCCUUUGAAGAUUAUUGUGCUUGUACAUCUCGUUUCGCUCUUCGGACGUGUUUAUUCAACUAAUAAUCAAAGUACUUAAUCUUACCGAGCAAAUCAAAGAAACAUGAGCGGACGAGGCCAUGGACGUGGCCACAUUGCUAUGACGCAGGCCGAAUUAACCAUCUUGAUCAACACUCGUGUAGCUGAAGCCCUAGCGGCUUACCAGGCUGGUCAACCUGCGAAUCAAAACAAUCCACCUGCUCCACCUGCUUGUACGUACAAGAUGUUCAUGGAUUGUAAGCCACAGACCUUUAGCGGGACUGAAGGGGCUGUAGGACUCCUGUGAUGGUUCGAGAAGGCAGAAUCAGUAUUUGCAAUGUGUAACUGUCCAGCUGGGGACAGAGUGAAGUAUGCUACGGGCACACUCGAGGAUGGUGCCCUUACAUGGUGGAAUGCCCAGGUUCAGAUGUUGGGUAUUGAGAUGGCGAAUGCCACUACUUGGGAUGAUUUCAAGGAG